GAGAGUUAAAUAGUACGUGAAAUUGUUGAAAGGGAAACGAUUGAAGCCAGUCGUACCUGCGGGUAAUCAGCCUUUUGGGCAUGAUUCUGUGGAGCGUGAGGAGUUAAACGCCUUCAUGCCUGCAUAUUCGUGUACUUUGGGUGUACUUGCCUGUGUGGUUAGUUAACAUCAAUUUUGGUUAUCAUAAAAUGGCUGGAGGAAUGUAGCUUCGAUUUCGAUUGAAGUGUUAUAGCCUUCGGCAGAUGUGAUGAUCGGGAUUGAGGAUUGCAACGGAUACCCUUCGGGGCUACCUGUCUGGUCUCUGAUCGUUGCUCUGGUGCCGAAAGCGUGCUUACGGUUAUCAAAGUCGAUGGUCAAUAGGUUAGAACGGGUUAAAUUCGUUAAGGAUGUUGACGUAAUGGCUUUAAACGA
rnacentral:rRNA from 1 species